UCCAACCAUCUCUACUUAAAUCCCAACAAUCGCUACUUACAAAUUAUUCUCUCUUAGAAGAAAAAGGAAAAUCACCAUCUAACCACUCUCUCUCAAAAAUCUUUUCAAUUACACCCCCGUGAAGCAACCCACUUGUAUAAUCACCAUCAAUCAACAUGUGUGGCGGUGCUAUCAUCUCAGACUUCAUCGCUCCGACAACCACCGCUCGAUCUUCUCGGCGGUUGACCUCGGGCUUUGAGUGGCUUGAGCUGAAGAAACCCUUCAACAGCAAGCACUUGAAGCCAGUUGUUGCUGAUCCCGAAGAUGAUUUUGAGGCUGAUUUUCAAGAGUUUAAGGAUGAGUCUGAUGUCGACGAGGAUUAUGAUGUCUUCGCUGAUGCCAAGCCUUUUGCUUUCUCUGCUAGUGCUUCUGAACCUGCUAAAAAGCUUGGGCUCCCUCGUGGUUCUACUGCUGUUAAAUCUGCUGGAUUCAGUGGACUUGCUGAAAAAUCAGCAAAGAGGAAGAGAAAGAACCAGUUUAGAGGAAUUAGGCAGCGUCCAUGGGGAAAAUGGGCUGCUGAGAUUCGUGAUCCCAGGAAAGGGGUACGUGUCUGGUUGGGAACAUUCAAUACUGCAGAAGAAGCUGCUAGAGCAUAUGAUUCUGAGGCACGUAGAAUUCGAGGCAAGAAAGCUAAGGUGAACUUCCCUGAUGAAGCUCCAUGUGCUUCAGCAAGGCAUCAAAUUAAGGAAAACUCACAGAAACGACUUACAAAGGCAAAUUUAAGCCAGGAUUUUAGUUACUUGAGCAACCCAGAAACUGAUUAUAAUAAUAUGGGCUUUGUGGAAGAGAAACCACAAGUGAGCCAGUUUGGAAUAAUGAAUUCUUUCCCGGCCAAUGGAGAUUCUGGGGUGACGCCCUUGAGUCCUCCUGACAAUCCUUCUAUGUAUUUCAAUUCUGACAACGGGAGCAACUCAUUUGAUUGUGACUUUGGGUGGGGAGAACAAGGCCCUGAAAUCUUGUCUGUUCUUGCAGCAACUCCAGAAGUUGAUGAAGCCGUCUUUGUGGAUGCUAAUCCUAAGAAGUUGAAAUCAUACACUGAGAAUGCAGUGCCUGUUGAAGAGAAGAAUGGAAAAUCUCUGUCCGAAGAGUUGCUGGCUUUUGACAAUCAGUUGAUGAACCUUCAGAUGCCAGAUAUUGUGGGUAACUGGGAGGCUUCUCUUGAUAGCUUCCUUAAUGGAGACACAACUCAGGAUGGCACAAACGCGGUGGACUUGUGGAGCUUCGAAGACUUCCCCUCCAUGGUUGGGGGAGUUUAUUGAGCCUACUUUUCUGUGUUUGCUAGGUUUUGUAAAUAAUAAGGCUACAUGUUAGAAUGGUUGUUUAUCUGAGAUGGGAAUGGAGGACAACACAGCUGAACAUGCUUAAAGCCUCGAUGUGGGAGAAGCAUUCCAGGAGCUUUUUCCAUAUAAAAGUAGUACAUUCGGUUUCCCGUUUCAUUACAUUUUAAGUCAUUGGACUUUGGAAGUUGGAUUCGAUGACUGUAAUUUGACAAUAUUGUGUGAUUUAUUUUGAGAACUGAAGCCUUAAAUUUCAA